CAAAAGAUAAGCUAACCAAGCUAGUGGGCUCAUACCCCACCUAUGAGGGUUCUCUCCCUCUCUUUUUA
rnacentral:tRNA from 2 species